GGCUCAGAUUGAACGCUGGCGGCAUGCCUUACACAUGCAAGUCGAACGGCAGCACGGACUUCGGGUCUGGUGGCGAGUGGCGAACGGGUGAGUAAUGCAUCGGAACGUGCCAUUGAGUGGGGGAUAACGUAGCGAAAGUUGCGCUAAUACCGCAUAUUCUGUGAGCAGGAAAGCAGGGGACCGCAAGGCCUUGCGCUCUUUGAGCGGCCGAUGUCAGAUUAGCUAGUUGGUGAGGUAAAGGCUUACCAAGGCGACGAUCUGUAGCGGGUCUGAGAGGAUGAUCCGCCACACUGGAACUGAGACACGGUCCAGACUCCUACGGGAGGCAGCAGUGGGGAAUUUUGGACAAUGGGCGGAAGCCUGAUCCAGCCAUGCCGCGUGAGUGAAGAAGGCCUUCGGGUUGUAAAGCUCUUUCGGCCGGGAAGAAAUCGCAUGGGUUAAUACCCUGUGUGGAUGACGGUACCGGAAUAAGAAGCACCGGCUAACUACGUG
rnacentral:rRNA from 1 species